GGCGAACGGGUGAGUAACACGUGAGCAACCUGCCCUAGGCUUUGGGAUAACCCUCGGAAACGGGGGCUAAUACCGAAUACGACCUUUGGACGCAUGUCUUUUGGUGGAAAGUUUUUCGGCCUGGGAUGGGCUCGCGGCCUAUCAGCUUGUUGGUGGGGUGAUGGCCUACCAAGGCGACGACGGGUAGCCGGCCUGAGAGGGCGACCGGCCACACUGGGACUGAGACACGGCCCAGACUCCUACGGGAGGCAGCAGUGGGGAAUAUUGCACAAUGGGCGGAAGCCUGAUGCAGCGACGCCGCGUGAGGGAUGACGGCCUUCGGGUUGUAAACCUCUUUCAGCAGGGACGAAGCGUAAGUGACGGUACCUGCAGAAGAAGCGCCGGCCAACUACGUGCCAGCAGCCGCGGUAAGACGUAGGGCGCGAGCGUUGUCCGGAUUUAUUGGGCGUAAAGAGCUCGUAGGCGGCUUGUCGCGUCGACUGUGAAAACCCGCAGCUCAACUGCGGGCCUGCAGUCGAUACGGGCAGGCUAGAGUUCGGUAGGGGAGACUGGAAUUCCUGGUGUAGCGGUGAAAUGCGCAGAUAUCAGGAGGAACACCGGUGGCGAAGGCGGGUCUCUGGGCCGAUACUGACGCUGAGGAGCGAAAGCGUGGGGAGCGAACAGGAUUAGAUACCCUGGUA
rnacentral:rRNA from 1 species